rnacentral:rRNA from 1 species
CCUACGGGAGGCAGCAGUCGGGAAUAUUGCGCAAUGGAGGAAACUCUGACGCAGUGACGCCGCGUAUAGGAAGACGGUUUUCGGAUUGUAAACUCUUGUCGUUAGGGAAGAGAACGGACAGUACCUCAGGAGGCAGCUCCGGCUAACUACGUGCCAGCAGCCUCGGUAAUACGUAGGGAGCGAGCGUUAUCCGUAAUUAUUGGGUGUAAAGGGUGCGUAGACGGGAAUGCAAGUUAGUUGUGAACUCCCGCGGCUUAACUGAGGAACUGCAACUAAAACUACAUUUCUUGAGUGCAGGAGAGGUAAGUGGAAUUCCUAGUGUAGCGGUGAAAUGCGUAGAUAUUAGGAGGAACACCAGUGGCGAAGGCGACCUGCUGGAACAUUACUGACGCUGAUGCACGAAAGCGUGGGGAGCAAACAGGAUUAGAUACCCCCGUAGUC